ensembl:misc_RNA
UGCCUGGUCUUCUGGAGCUGAGGACCCGGGAAACCGUGCAGUGGAGGCGAGCCUUGGGCUGCUUAGAGGCGCUGACAUCCGAGGAGACUUUUCCUGG